AAACUACUUCGGCGCAAGUAAUACCAACAACCACGUUGGUAAGCUGAGUAAAAAUCAGGAAAGACGACUCGAUAAUAUCCAGGCGUUCAAUCAUGACUAUAAUCAUCAAGGGCUCAAGGCGUUGAUGUCAGUAAUUGAGACCAGGUGGGGAAUCAAUACUUGAGAGACUACACAAAAAAGAAAUAAAAGAUGGAUGAUGCCAAAUGCUUGGGUUCGCCGCCCAUAUUCAAGUAAUCGUCAAUCUGAUGCCCUUUGAACCAAUAUACGUAAGUGAAGAAGAAGCAGCAACAGCUGCCCUAUCUUUAAAAGUGAUCUCCAGUUUAAUACAGCUGCCGAAAUGGUCAGACACGGAUUACGAACUUAAUUCGCCCGUUUAGUGUCACUAAUUUGCCAUUAUUUGUUUGAACGCUUGCAAAGCAUCGGACUCCAACAUCACCACAAUUAACCGAAAUUCGGACGCUAUAUUCUUGCCGGAAGGGACAACAGAUAUUUUACCGGGUUCGCCAUCUCUCAUAUCGGUCUAUUACAGCGGUAAUCAACACUCAAGUACAACGGCGUAUACAAGAUUGUUCCUCGUCCAACGACCAGUCCUUCAAAAACUGAGUUUUGAAACGUGUCAAACAGAUGGCGUGUUGAUUGUGUCAGUUAUGGGCUUAUCGCUUAUGGCGGUUUGCUGUCAAAACUUAAGCUAUCUUUUCUUCGAAAAUUACCAAGGAAUUCAUGGAGGAGGAAACGUGAAAGUCGUGCAGCCUACCGUCAACUAUUUUGUUCAAACUCAUUGUAUUCUACUGAAUGUGCCAUAGAAAUGAUACAGGAUAAUUUUACCUUAAUUAUUGGCUGUUUCUUUGGACUUGCUAGAUCACCAACCCCAGCAUGGACCAAUCUCUAAUUCCAUCCUCUAGAGAACCUUGGAUAACUGAUUGGUGGGCAGUCUAAUAUAUUUUAAAAAUCAUGGAUAUCAAGAACAUUGAUGGCACCAAUUAUAAAUAAGACUUUAUGAGAACUUGUAUGUCAUUUCAAGAAAAAGGACAGGAUUAUGCAGUCAAUACGAUUCAUUGUUUGCUAACCGUUGGCUGCCACCAUUGAAUCUCCAUUUUUACUUCCUUAAACGGGCCCUCUUGAUUUGAGGGUAAUCCUUCGCUACUUAUCGUGGACUUCAUCCAUUGCUGAACACCGACGAGAGCAUGCAGUCAUUCAAGACUGAUGAAUUGUGUAGUUAGCAAAAUUACAAGUCCAUAUGCAUAUCUGGGCUCCCUUCGUUUCUGUGGCCCCGUUUCCCUAACUAACCACUAACCAACGCCCGCCGGUGGUCACUCACC